UACGUAGGGUGCGAGCGUUAAUCGGAAUUACUGGGCGUAAAGCGUGCGCAGGCGGUGAUGUAAGACCGAUGUGAAAUCCCCGGGCUUAACCUGGGAACUGCAUUGGUGACUGCAUUGCUGGAGUAUGGCAGAGGGGGGUGGAAUUCCACGUGUAGCAGUGAAAUGCGUAGAGAUGUGGAGGAACACCGAUGGCGAAGGCAGCCCCCUGGGCCAAUACUGACGCUCGUGCACGAAAGCGUGGGGAGCAAACAGG
rnacentral:rRNA from 1 species